rnacentral:rRNA from 1 species
UUCGCAAUGCCCGAAAGGGUGACGAAGCGACGCCGCGUGGGUGAGGAAGGCCCUCGGGUUGUAAAGCCCUGUCAGGAGUUAAGAAGUGUAGAUACGCUAAUAUCGUAUCUAUUUGACAAAGGCUCCAAAGGAAGCCACGGCUAACUCUGUGCCAGCAGCCGCGGUAAUACAGAGGUUGCAAGCGUUGUUCGGAAUUAUUGGGCGUAAAGAGCACGUAGGUGGAUUUGUAAGUCAGAUGUGAAAGCCUUCUGUUCAACGGAAGAAUUGCAUCUGAAACUACAAACCUUGAGUAUAGGAGGGGAGAAUGGAACUUCUGGUGGAGCGGUGAAAUGCGUAGAUAUCAGAAGGAACGCCGGCGGCGAAAGCGAUUCUCUGGCCUAUUACUGACACUCAGUGUGCGAAAGCUAGGGGAGCAAACGGGAUUAGAUACCCCGGUAGUCCUAGCCGUAAACGAUGGGCACUAAGUAGAGGGGUUUU